GACAGAGGCCUCAAGCGUUAGGCGGAAUCACUGGGCUUAAAGCGUGUGUAGGCGGAUGCCUAAGUACCUUGUGAAAUCCCACGGCUCAACCGUGGAACUGCUGGGUAUACUGGGCGUCUUGGGCCAUUCAGGGGCGACUGGAACAAGCGGUGGAGCGGUGAAAUGCGUAGAUAUCGCUUGGAACGCCGAAGGUGAAAACAGGUCGCUGGGGAUGUGCCGACGCUGAGACACGAAAGCUAGGGGAGCAAACGGG
rnacentral:rRNA from 1 species